AUCUUUCGCUAUUAAUCGUUAAAAACAAAAAAAAUUUUCUAAAGUUUUCGCACAGAAACACCAAAUUUAAAAUGAAAAUCAAUACUUGGUUGAGGCUAGAA
ensembl:ncRNA Y40B1B.10 ncRNA